ACAGUUUGUGCUUAUCUGAACGACCUGCACUCCUCCAUUUCAGCUAAGGGGGAUCUGAAUGAGGAUGGACAAAGGACCUUGCUUGUGAGAGAGGGAAAAAGGGAUUGUGAGACUUGGUGGAAUAAUGAGCAGAACCCCUGGGGGAAGGUACCAGAGGAAAAGCAGUACCUCCUUGAGACUUGGAUCUAAGGCUCUCACUGCAGGUCUGGAGCACAGCUUAUUGUUUCAGCCAAAGUCAGUUUCUCCUCUAUUAAACUCAGCUGGGGUUUUUCCUGGCCUAAUCUCACCCACACUGAAGACAAAUUGAAAGAAACAAGCAGAGCACAACACCGGAAAGUGGAUGAAGAAACAAAAGCCUGCCUUUGAAAGAGAUCUCUGUGAAUCUCUGGCACGUAGCAGCAAAAGGGAGGAAAUGGGAGGCUGAGAAGGACAGAGCAUCUGCUCACAUUGUGGCUGCACUCUCCAUCCAAACAUCAGGCUCUGGAAGGCCAGAGCUCAAGUUCUGACUGUGAAUAUCUUGGCUCGUGUCAAUGCUCUUCCUGCACCCACCUGACUUCAGCUGGAUUUUUGCCACUGUCUUCUUUGGGGGUAGCAUCACCAAAAUCUGCACUGGUUCAGUCUUAAUACCUAAGGAUUAAUAAAAAUAACCCCUAAGACAUACUGGAGCAAGUGAAUUGAAUAAAACACGAGUUAAUGUGCUGGCUAACAUGUUUCCCAGCAGCUGGCCUCCAGCAAACAGCUAAAGGUCCUCACUUGGUAAUCAAAGGUGCUGCUGUGCUGAGAAGUUCUGGCCACCACUAAAUCCUACAGCAGCUUGGUCAGCAGCCCUCUGGGAUUCCUGCCAGGUAGAACGGCAGAGGAAUUUGUACAACUAUAACAGGAGGAAGAAAUAUUCUUCUAGAAGGAGUUCUAACUCAUCAGGUUCCCUGGGAGCCCAUGAUGUGUCUGAGCUGCCUCAGCCACUCCCACACGUCCAUCCAGGGUGAAGAACAAUAUUCCUGAUGGUUCUGUCCUACCAAACACCCACCAGGAGAAGCCCCCCUCCACAGCUCGUCCUGCUCUAUCACAGCAAUUCUCUGCAGUAACUCGGGCUAUCAGGAAGAAUGAUAAUGUUCAUAAACCAAGGAAUCAUUCCACACAUGAACAGGCCUGUGGAAGAGGAGAAGGAAGGGGAAUGUGCAGCCUGAAAAAAUGGUAACAAAUGUGGAUUUCCAUAACAUUCAGCACUAUCCACAGCUUCCUAAGGCAAAUGGGACUGUUACCACUGACUCCAACAGAAAAACAUUUGGCUCAGUGGUGAGUGAUUUUGAAAAUGCUGCUUUGACAUUUUAGGCCUGAAACCAGAC